CCCCUAGACGUUCUGGGCUGCACGCGCGCUACAAUAAUACGCACAGCGAGUAUCACCGAGCUCGAAAGGGCAAGGUAAACAAUAGAAAAGGUACUGUAAUGGUUAUAGAUCCUUGUAAUUAUUGAUCUUCAACGAGGAAUUCCUAGUAAGUAUGUGUCAUCAUCACGCACUGAUUACGUCCCUGCCCUUUGUACACACCGCCCGUCGCUCCUACCGAUUGAGUGAGCCGAUGAAACUGCCGGAUGUGGACUAUUCAUAGUCUGCAGAAGAUAUUUGAAUCGUAACGCUUAGAGGAAGGAGAAGUCGUAACA
rnacentral:rRNA from 1 species